rnacentral:rRNA from 1 species
AUACGUAGGGUGCGAGCGUUAAUCGGAAUUACUGGGCGUAAAGCGUGCGCAGGCGGUUUUGUAAGACAGUGGUGAAAUCCCCGGGCUCAAACUGGGAACUGCCAUUGUGACUGGAAGGCUGGAGUGCGGCAGAGGGGGGUGGAAUUCCGCGUGUAGCGGUGAAAUGCGUAGAUAUGCGGAGGAACACCGAUGGCGGAGGCAAUCCCCUGGGCCUGCACUGACGCUCAUGCACGAAAGCGUGGGGAGCAAACAGGAUUAGAUACCCUGGUAGUCCACGCCCUAAACGAUGUCAACUGGUUGUUGGGAAUUUAUUUUCUCAGUAACGAAGCUAACGCGUGAAGUUGACCGCCUGGGGAGUACGGCCGCAAGGUUAAAACUCAAAGGAAUUGACGGGG